AGUAGUUUGAUCAGUGGCUCAGGACGAACGCUGGCGGUGUGCUUCACACAUGCAAGUCGAACGAGGUAGCAAUACCUAGUGGCGGACGGGUGAGUAACGCGUGGGAAUCUGCCUUUAGAUGGGGGAUAACGGGUCGAAAGACUCGCUAAUACCGCAUAUGACGAAAGUUGAAAGGAGUAAUCCGUCUAAAGAUGAGCCCGCGUCCGAUUAGCUAGUUGGUAGAGUAAAAGCCUACCAAGGCGACGAUCGGUAGCUGGUCUGAGAGGAUGAUCAGCCACAAUGGGACUGAGACACGGCCCAUACUCCUACGGGAGGCAGCAGUGGGGAAUUUUACGCAAUGGGCGAAAGCCUGACGUAGCGACACCGCGUGAGCGAAGAAGCCCCUUGGGGUGUAAAGCUCUGUCAGCUGGAACGAAAAAAAUGACGGUACCAGCAGAGGAAGCAUCGGCUAACUACGUG
rnacentral:rRNA from 1 species